UACGGAGGAUGCGAGCGUUAUCCGGAUUUAUUGGGUUUAAAGGGUGCGUAGGCGGACUGUCAAGUCAGCGGUAAAAUUGUGAGGCUCAACCUCUUCCCGCCGUUGAAACUGGUGGUCUUGAGUGGAUGAGAAGUACGCGGAAUGCGUGGUGUAGCGGUGAAAUGCAUAGAUAUCACGCAGAACUCCGAUUGCGAAGGCAGCGUACCGGCAUCCAACUGACGCUGAGGCACGAAAGCGUGGGGAUCAAACAGG
rnacentral:rRNA from 1 species